AGGGGAGCCAGGGCAAGCAGGCUGUUGAGCAGAGGGCCAGGUGGCACCAGGGGGGACCGUCCGCAUCCCCACUAUGCCCCAGCCUGAACCUGUGUUCUAACGGCAGGUGACUGGC
ensembl:miRNA eca-mir-9108 eca-mir-9108